GCCCGCCUAGCUCAAUCGGAUAGAGCGUCAGACUCUUAUUAUCUCUGUCAAGGCAGGCAUUAAAUCUGAAGGCUACGAGUUUGACCCUCGCGGUGGGCU